GCUGGGUGUGGUGGCUCACGCCUGUAAUCCCAGUACUUUGGGAGGCUGAGGUGGGUGGAUUGCUUGAGCUUAGGAGUUUGAGAUCAGCCUGGGCAACACAGUGAAAACCCAUCUCUA
rnacentral:SRP_RNA from 1 species